UUAUUACAUUCUCAUCAUACUAAGCAUAGUAAGAAAAAUAUUGUUUAAAUACUUCUGGUUUUUAUAGUGAAGCCCCCCCUUUCCGCCUCAUUUCCCACUGUUGGUAGAGCCGUGCACUCCAGCGAUGCACUGACCUGCUGCACCAAGGGGAUGGAUGCUCAGGGUCUCGGGAGGCUCUUCCAAAUUUUUUUAUCCACAUGGUGCCUGAAGGCUUUAAUGAGGACCAUGCAGCUAGGUCACAUGAAGAAAUUUUAGCUCAAAACUAGCACUAGAGCUUGGGGAAGGUGGGCCUUUGCCUGGUGUAAGAGAUGGAAAGAAAAGCUUUAAUGCUGAUACAGGCCUGGCUAGAAAAUUGACAUACGGAGUUAACGUGAGGAAAAAUAUUUACCUCUCUACUACUUUGAACCUAUUUGUUUCACAAAAGGCACUAAUAUUUACCUUCUCUGUAAAAGAAACAUGCACUUUCUUCUCAAGAAAAUAUUUUUAUGUUUGAAAAGGCCAAAACUAGAUUUAUUUUUAAACUAUCAAUUACAGGGCAGAAGGUGUCCCAGCACAACCAAAAUAAGGCAGAGGGAGAAAUGGUUUCUGUACUUCGUGUAAUACCACAACUUAAGGUUACCAGGAUUGAAACAGAAAAGCCAGGGUAGCUGAAAUUCUGGGUCCUAUCACAAUUCCAGUGGUGGGGAGGAAAUGCAGAGGUUUUGAGUCUGGUUGUGCAACAGACAAAAUCAAGAACAGAAGUUAUUCCACACAGUAUUUUUACAUAAAGGCCAUCUUAAUUCCAACAUGCCACUGUGUUUAUAUAAAAAAUUAGUACAUGUGCGUAUUUUUAGCAUGCAAUCUAACAGCAUGCUUCACUUUGCCUUAUGAUAGUCAGCAGCAUUGCUAUUUUAAAUGUCUUUGGUCCCUUUGCUAAUGCAGCAAUAAUAAGAACUAUUUCCAAAACUAUAACAAAGAGUGAUUUUAGCAAUUAGCAGCAACAGUCUUAUUUAAUUAUUAGAUUUGUAUAUGUUCGGUUGUCAGUUCCCCCAUUUUUUUAUACCCGAGAGUUAUUUUGUCAGCAUCAUCUGUCUCAGUCUAAACAAAUUCGGUCUUCGCAGGCUCUCACCAAAGUGUGGAACCUCGCACAUGGAUGACUGCAGCGGGUCACUGCGGCACAGCCUGAAGCUGUGGAAAGCCUUGGGUGCUGGGCUUUUCUUUUUUGAGCAGAUUCUUCAAGAAAUAUGAGGGAUCAGACACUGCAAUACAUGGAAACCGAUGUCUUCUGGAGCCUCCCGGUCUCACUGCAGCAGUAGGAGCAGUGGCAUCACAGCCCAGAGUGAAGCCUGAAGCCACAGCAUCCAAAUGGCUGCUGGCGUGGCAGUGGGACACAGCGAUGACUCUCUCUGCCAUUUGCACUCCUGCUCCCAAGUACCUGUGUAACACCUGCACCGCUCUGUUAGCGAGGACAUCAUGGAAGAGACUUGAGUGAGGCUGGUAAAAGAAGCUGUAUAGCAAAGAGUUCAUCAUUCCUCCCUUGUGAAGACUAUAAGACUCUCUGCUCCAAUUUGCCUGCUUCUUUGUUCCCAAAGGCACAUUAAAAAAGGGGGAGCGUUUGUUCUGUGUCUGCUUCUUUGUGAAUAAUGAGCAAUCCUUCCUAUUAUCUGAUUAGUGCUUGCUACUGUCCAAAUUAAUUAAAAAUAAAAAAAAGAGGAAAAUAAUUAUUUUCAUAUUUUACAGUGUUGAAUACCUCAGACAACACAGCUGCUUGACUGUAUGGUUUGAGACGACUACUCUUGACUGUUGCAGCUGUGGGCAUGUGGAGGACAGUAAUAGUGGUUCUGAGCAAGUAUAUUCUCAAGAUAAAACCCAUUGCUUGUGCGGUUUCUUGGGAUUAGGUUUGUAGGAGCCAAAGUACCAUAGGUCCCUGUUCUCUGAAGUAAGACUCCUUUGGAAAAAUACAAUAUGCUGUUUGAGGUGUUUUGUUAAUAGCAUCCGAGCACGCAGGUAGGACGUAGCUCUCCUCCCACAAAGCAAAAAUACAUGAACGAUUAAUAAAAGGUCUCGAAUUCAAGGGAUUAUUCUGCCUGUGACUUAAGCCUGAGGAGGAUCAUUAUCACCAGCCAGCAGAGGAUCUAUAAAUAACCCACAGAGCUGAGUUUAAAGCAUUAGUUUAGCCUCUCAGUGGAAAUUCAGUGCAUUGUCUAAGUGUGGUUAGAGGCAAAUAUUAUCUUAAAGCAACUUAUUGUUUUACUUCACAGUGGCAAGGAAAUAAGCAUUUCUUAUUAUCAGGACAAGUGACAUUAUUUCAGCCCAUCACUAUGACUUGUGGCAAAACAGGAAGAAAGAAUGAGGCAAAGCUGCAAUUCCCCAGCAAGCACUUUUUCUCAGAACUGGGGAGGAGUGGAUAUACUCAUUCUGAAAAGCCUGACUAAUAGUUCUGGAAAUCGAUUCAGUCUACUCCUUCACGGGCAGGUAGAGCAGAAGCAGCAGUGCUGCAGCCAGCCCCACACGGCUGUGACCUGCCGGCAGGUCUCUAAGCCACCUGGAAGUAGUACUGGGAGAACAGAUUACGCACCAAGUCACUCAGCUGCUUCACCGAAGUUGCCAGCAGAACUGCUAGGUAGUGUUGAAUCGGGAUCUUUGUAAGGUGGUUAUUUGUCCACAGAGAACUAAGCUAACUGCUAGGUAGUUCUGCGUGGAGGAUUAAACAACCAUUAGGUGGUAACAACUUUUUGUCACUAACGUCUUCAUCCACAUUGGAGCAGGUGACGGCCCUCACAUGCCUCUUUCUAUGUAUCUGUCUACCGAGGCAGGCAGUCUCCUCUUCCAGAUUCUGAAGAAAUGUUGUUUUAAUAAAAGUUUCUUUUA